CUUGGGAGGGUGGGUGCUAGUAGUCCUCUCCUGAACGUUUGCCCAGAAGGUUGUUAAUUGCUGUACAAAAUUUCUCCUGAAGUUUAGAAGGUGUUGGUAAUUGGUUGAAAGAUAUUAAUUUAUUUUCCAGGGUGAGAUGUCUUCCAAGAUGAACAGCAAGUCGACGACAAGUUUGUGUUGAAAGUUACAAUGCUUUAAAGGACAUAUGAUCUGCUGUGCUUUUCAAAAUCCCCAAAUAGGUAAUUGCCUCCCAGUGAAGGUAGCUGAGCUUCAAGACCUAAUUUCUCCCAG